AGAGUUUGAUCCUGGCUCAGGAUGAACGCUAGCGGCGUGCCUAAUGCAUGCAAGUCGAACGGGAUCCUUUGGACUCGUCUGAAGGUGAGAGUGGCGAACGGGUGAGUAACACGUUGGUGACCUACCCCAGAGAGGGGGAUAACCAUUGGAAACGAUGGCUAAUACCCCGGAUGUCAUUACUGUUAGAGGGUAAUGACUAAAGCUCCGGCGCUCUGGGAGGGGCCUGCGGCCCAUCAGCUAGUUGGCAGGGUAAUGGCCUACCAAGGCAAAGACGGGUAGGGGGCGUGAGAGCGUGACCCCCCACACUGGUACUGACACACGGACCAGAUACCUACGGGUAGCAGCAGCAAGGAAUAUUGCCCAAUGGACGCAAGUCUGAGGCAGCAACGCCGCGUGGAGGAUGAAGGCCUUCGGGUCGUAAACUCCUUUUCUGGGGGAAGAGAAAGGACGGUACCCCAGGAAUAAGUCUCGGCUAACUACGUGCCAGCAGCCGCGGUAAAACGUAGGAGGCGAGCGUUAUCCGGAUUUACUGGGCGUAAA
rnacentral:rRNA from 1 species